rnacentral:rRNA from 1 species
GUGGGGAAUAUUGCACAAUGGGGGAAACCCUGAUGCAGCCAUGCCGCGUGUGUGAAGAAGACCUUCGGGUUGUAAAGCACUUUCAGCGAGGAGGAAAGGUUGGUAGCUAAUAACUGCCAGCUGUGACGUUACUCGCAGAAGAAGCACCGGCUAACUCCGUGCCAGCAGCCGCGGUAAUACGGAGGGUGCAAGCGUUAAUCGGAAUUACUGGGCGUAAAGCGCACGCAGGCGGUUGGAUAAGUUAGAUGUGAAAGCCCCGGGCUCAACCUGGGAAUUGCAUUUAAAACUGUCCAGCUAGAGUCUCGUAGAGGGGGGUAGAAUUCCAGGUGUAGCGGUGAAAUGCGUAGAGAUCUGGAGGAAUACCGGUGGCGAAGGCGGCCCCCUGGACAAAGACUGACGCUCAGGUGCGAAAGCGUGGGGAGCAAACAGGAUUAGAAACCCCUGUAGUCC